GUCGAGCGAGAACUGGGCUUCGAGAAUUGGGGAAAGCGGCGAUCGGGUGAGUAACAAAUGAGUCAUCCACCCUCGGCACCGGGAUAGCCCGGGGAAACCCUGACUAAUACCGGAUGGCCCGUCUGCCCUUCGGGGCGGCCGGAAAAGGUAGCUUCGGCCUCCGGCCGAGGACGAGCUCGCGGCGGAUUAGCUUGUUGGCGGGGUAACGGCCCACCAAGGCGACGAUCCGUAGCUGGUCUGAGAGGACGAUCAGCCACACUGGGACUGAGACACGGCCCAGACUCCUACGGGAGGCAGCAGUGGG
rnacentral:rRNA from 1 species